GCUCCUGUAGCCCAAUCGGAAGAGGCCGCUACCUCAAAAGUAGUGCGUUGUGUCAGUUCAAAUCUGACCAGGAGUA
rnacentral:tRNA from 1 species